AGUGAACGCUGGCGGCAUGCCUAACACAUGCAAGUCGAACGGCAGCACAGUAAGAGUUUGCUCUUACGGGUGGCGAGUGGCGGACGGGUGACGAAUACAUCGGCAUCUUCUUUUUCGUGGGGGAUAACGUAGGGACACUUACGCUAAUACCGCAUAUGAUCUACGGGUGAAAGCAGGGGAUCUUCGCACCUUUCGCGUCUGAAUGAGCCGAUGCCGGAUUAGCUAGUUGGCGGGGUAAAGGCCCACCAAGGCGACGAUCCGUAGCCGAUCUGAGAGGAUGAUCGGCCACACUGGAACUGAGACACGGUCCAGACUCCUACGGGAGGCAGCAGUGGGGAAUAUUGGGCAAUGGGCGCAAGCCUGAUCCAGCCAUACCGCGUGGGUGAAGAAGGCCUUCGGGUUGUAAAGCCCUUUUGUUGGGAAAGAACAGCAGCAGGUUAAUACCCCGCUGUUCUGACGGUACCCAAUGAAUAAGCACCGGCUAACUUCGUG
rnacentral:rRNA from 1 species